rfam:Ictidomys tridecemlineatus contig061429, whole genome shotgun sequence.
GGAGUUGUGGCUCAGUGGCAAAGCACUUGCCUUGCAAGUAUGAGGCACUGUGUUUGAUCCUCAGCACCA